rnacentral:rRNA from 1 species
GAUGAACGCUGGCGGCGUGCCUAAUACAUGCAAGUCGAGCGAACGGACGAGAAGCUUGCUUCUCUGAUGUUAGCGGCGGACGGGUGAGUAACACGUGAAUAACCUACCUAUAAGACUGGGAUGACUUCGGGAAACCGGAGCUAAUACCGGAUGAUAUUUUGAACCGCAUGGUUCAAAAGUGAAAGACGGUCUUGCUGUCACUUAUAGAUGGAUCCGCGCUGCAUUAGCUAGUUGGUAAGGUAACGGCUUACCAAGGCAACGAUGCAUAGCCGACCUGAGAGGGUGAUCGGCCACACUGGAACUGAGACACGGUCCAGACUCCUACGGGAGGCAGCAGUAGGGAAUCUUCCGCAAUGGGCGAAAGCCUGACGGAGCAACGCCGCGUGAGUGAUGAAGGUCUUCGGAUCGUAAAACUCUGUUAUUAGGGAAGAACAUAUGUGUAAGUAACUGUGCACAUCUUGACGGUACCUAAUCAGAAAGCCACGGCUAACUACGUG